rnacentral:lncRNA from 1 species
CAUUGACUGUUAAGGAAUUGUAAUAAGGUACAAGGAGCCAAUUGAUUGCUCAAGUGUAAACACUGUGCUCCUCAUUUAAAGUCUAAUAAUUUCCCCAAUCAAAAAGCUCUCCUGUCUAUAAAUUAUCCCACCAUCUCUCACUGAAGAAAACAGAUCCUUUCAAAAAAAUCGCUGCAGACUCCAAACCCAGCUGAAAAUUUAUGCUGAAAUCCAACACAAUCUGGAUCACAUCUUGUGAUGAGAGAUUAAAUUCCUUUCUCUGGAUGGGAAAACUCCCCGCAUCAAAGGAAGGUUGUCCAGCACACAGUAUGAAGAAGGAAAAGCAGUUUCUAUAAUCUUUUUCAAGACAGAUUUCUCUCUCAAGACAGCAGAUGGUCACUUCCCUCUGGUGCUGAUACUGCUUUUAACUAAUUUUUUUCAGCUGUGCUCACACAUAUAUUAAAAAGACACAAAAUACAGACAAGUUGCUCAAAGAUCAGAGAUGCUGCCAUGCUGCAUCUGAACUUGGAUAAGUGGUUAUCAGCUUCACUCCAGCCAGUUGAGCCUCAAUAAACAG